GCCCGAGUGGCGGAAUGGUAGACGCAGCGGAUUCAAAAUCCGUCGCCGCAAGGCAUGUCGGUUCGAGUCCGACCUUGGGCA
rnacentral:tRNA from 1 species